CAGGCCUAACACAUGCAAGUCGAGCGGUAACAGGGGGUGCUUGCACCCCGCUGACGAGCGGCGGACGGGUGAGUAAUGCAUAGGAAACUGCCCAGUAGUGGGGGAUAGCCCGGGGAAACCCGGAUUAAUACCGCGUACGCCCUUCGGGGGAAAGCAGGGGAUCUUCGGACCUUGCGCUAUUGGAUGUGCCUAUGUCGGAUUAGCUAGUUGGUGGGGUAAAGGCCUACCAAGGCGACGAUCCGUAGCUGGUCUGAGAGGAUGAUCAGCCACAUCGGGACUGAGACACGGCCCGAACUCCUACGGGAGGCAGCAGUGGGGAAUAUUGGACAAUGGGGGCAACCCUGAUCCAGCCAUGCCGCGUGUGUGAAGAAGGCUUUCGGGUUGUAAAGCACUUUCAGUGAGGAGGAAAAGUUGGUCGUUAAUACCGGCCAGCCUUGACGUUACUCACAGAAGAAGCACCGGCUAACUCCGUGCCAGCAGCCGCGGUAAUACGGAGGGUGCAAGCGUUAAUCGGAAUUACUGGGCGUAAAGCGCGCGUAGGUGGUUUGAUAAGCGAGAUGUGAAAGCCCCGGGCUUAACCUGGGAACGGCAUUUCGAACUGUCAGGCUAGAGUAUGGUAGAGGAGUGUGGAAUUUCCUGUGUAGCGGUG
rnacentral:rRNA from 1 species